GGAGAGGUGCUGGAGAGGCCGAACAGGCGCGCCUGGAAAGCGCGUAGCCCCGUCAGGGGCUCGUGGGUUCGAAUCCCACCCUCUCCGCCA
rnacentral:tRNA from 1 species